rnacentral:lncRNA from 1 species
CCAAUACCACUUUCAUCUACAUCACCACCUUCUGGACCAUUCAGAGGUAAUCUGGGGUCAUCCAAAUCCACAGCCCUGUCUUAAGCCCCCAGUUGUUUGUGGGAUCCUACAGGUAAACAUUAAGAAGUUCUGAGCACUUUCAAAAAUAAUCAUAAUGACUGAUCUUGAAUGAAGACCACAUAGUUGUCAGUCACUGUGUCGGUCUAUCUGUCCUUCCUUCCUUCUCUCUCUCUCAAAAAUAAUUUCUAUUUGGAAUUUAUCCAUUGUUAGCCAAUCUUUCGCUAUGGUUAACUUUUUAGGAUUAGUCUUUGUUUUUAAUUUUAUAAAAGUAUAAUUGAGAAGCACUGAGAAAAGUCUAUGUAUAUAUACAUGUACACAUAUAUAUAAUCAGUGCAAAGGUUGAUGAAUUUUCACAAACUGAACACACCGCUGUAAGCAGCACCCAGAUCAAGAAACAGAACUUCACUACCCCUCAGUCGCUACACUUUCCUAAGGGAAACUCACCACCCUGACUUCUAAAAACACAGAUUAGGUUUACCUUGCUGUUUUCUCAAAAUUCACUGUUUUGCUUUGUUUUGUGAAACGAUACCAGAAUAAAACAAAUACCAAUUAUUUUUAAUUAUAUGGUUAGAAAGAACACGUUUUAAAAAUGGACUAAGGAACAAACAAUAUUACUUGUCCCAAAAGUAUUUUGGCAUUAUGUGAGUAGAUCUUUUAUUAUCGUUUUGCCUUAUGGUCUAUUUUGUGUUUUGUGGUAGAUUUUUUGAGGAAUGAAUGUGGAACAUUAAAUGGGAUAUAUGAGGAUGUAAUGAUGCUGGCUGAAGGCUGAAGAAGAAUAUGUAUUCAUGAUAACUUUUUUAUUGCAUCAAAAUGUACAUACAGCAAAUUCACAGAUAAGUGUGCAAUUUAAUGGAGUUUUGAGUAAUGCAAAUACCCACGUAACCACCACCCCAAUCAAGACUGAUAAUAUUCCUAUCAUCCCAGAAAGUUCCCUCAUGGCCCUUCCAGUUCAUGCCAUGGCAACCACUGUUCUAAUUUUUUUUUUUUUUUGAGGAAGAUUAGCCCUGAGCUAACUACUGCCAAUCCUCUUUUUUCUGAGGAAGGCUGGCCCUGAGCUAACAUCCGUGCCCAUCUUCCUCUACUUCAUAUGUGGGAUGCCUACCACAGCAUAGCAUGCCAUGUGGUGCCACGUCCACACCCAGGAUCCAAACGGGUGAACCCCGGGCCGCUGAGGAGCAGAACGUGUGAACUUAACCGCUGCGCCACUGCCCGGUCCCCCACUGUUCUAAUUUUGAUCACUGUAGAUCAGUCUUCCCUACUCGUGAAUUUCAUACACAUGUAAUCAUAGACUAUGUACCACUUGUACAACACAAUGCUUUUGAGAUUCAUCUACAUUGUUGCGUGUAUCAGUUGUUUAUUCUUUUUUUAAUAUUGAGUAGGACCUCACUGUAUAAAUAUAUACAAUUUAUUUAUUCAUCCUUCUAAUAGACAUCUGAGUUGUGCCCAUUUUUGUGGACAUAUGUCCUCUUUUUCUCUUGAGUAAACACGUAGGAAUGGAAUUUGUUUUGUGAUGAAGUGGUUCCAGGUUUAACUUUUUAAGAAACUUAGUUUCCAAAGUGAGUGUACCAUCUUACACUCCCACCAGCAAUGUAUGAGAGCUGCAGUAGCCCCAGUUGCUCCACAUCCUCUCCAACAAUAGAUAUCAUCAAUCUUUUGAAUUUUGACCAUUCUGAUGGGUGUGAGUGGUACGUCAUUGUGCUUUUGUGUUUCCCUGAUGACUAAUGAUAAGGAGUAACUUUAUAUGCACUUAUUGUCUAUUUGUAUAUCUUCCUUUGUAAAGUGUCUAUUCAAUAUUGUUCUGUUUUUGGCUUUUACUGAGUUGUAGGAAUUCUUUAAACAUUCUGGAUGUAAGUCCUUUGUCAGAUGCAUGUACGUAAAUAUUUCCUGCAGUCGGCGACUUGCCUUUGCAUGCUGUCAGUGCUGACUUUUGCUGAGCAGAGGUUUUUAAUUUUGAAGAAAUCCAAUUUGUCAAUAUAUUUUUUUGCAGUUAGUGUUUUUUGGGUCCUCUCUAAGAAAUUUCUGCCUACCUGAAGUUCAUGAAGAUAUUCUUGUAUGUAUUCUGCUAGCUUUAUAGUUCUAGCUUUUAUGUUUAGGCCUAUAACCUAUCUCAAAUUAAUUUUAAACGUGAUGUGGAGUAGAAGUCAAGGCUCAUUUUUUUCUAUACAUUUUCCUAGUUUUUCCAGUCGAUUUGCUGAAAAAAAUGUUUCUUCUCACUGAAGGGGCCAUUGCCUUCACAUUUUUGUAAAAAAUCGACUGAAUACAUAUAAAUCUAUCUCUGGAUUCUUCAUUAUGACCCACUGAUCUAUUUCUCUAUGAUUCCAUCAAUACCACACCAUCUUGAUUACUAGUUUUUGAUGCGUUUUGAACUCAGGAAAUGUGAGCUCUCCAACUUGGUUGUUUAUUUUCAAGAUUGUUUGGGCUAUUCUAGGUCCUACGCACUUCCAUUUCCAUUUCAGAAACAUCUUGUCAGUUCUACAAAAAAUCUUGUUGCUAUUUGGAUUGAAAUUAUGUUGAAACUAUAAAUGUCCCUAGUUCGAUGUGGAGAGAACUCACAUCUUAACAAUACUGAGUCUCCAAACCACGUACAUAGUUUAUCCAUUUAGAUCUUUAAUUUCUCUUAGCACUGUUUUCUACUUUUUUAUAUACAGGUCUUGCACACUUUUAAAGUUAUUCUUAAGUAUUUUUUGAUGCUAUUUAUCAAUGAAAUAGUUUUUAAAACUUCAUUUCCAACUAUUUGCUGCUAGAAUAAAAAAUAUAAUUUAUUUUAUAUAUUGACUUUGUAUCCUGUGACCUUAUUAAAAGUACUUAUUAGUCCUAAUAUUUUCUUUAAAAAUUUUCACAUAAAUAAUCACGGCAUCCAUAAAUAUAGAGAGGCUUGCUCUUUUUCCCCAAUCUACACAGCAUUUCUGCCUUGUUACACUAGCUGGGAAUUUCAGUACAAUAGUCAAUAGGAAUGGUUAAGAGCAGACAUUCUUGCCUUGUUCCCAAUCUUAGGAGAAAAGCCUUCAAUGUUUCAGGAUAAAUAUGAUGUUAACUAGGAUUUUCAUAUAUGUCCCUUAUAAGAUUGAAAAAGUUGUCUUCUCAUCCAAGUUUGCUAACACUUUUGGUCAUGGACACAAUUUUGGAAUGGACAGUGAAUUUUGUCAGACACUUUUUCUGUAUCUUUUGAAAUGAUCAUAUGCUUUUACCCAUUUAUGUUAAUAUGGUGAAUUAUAUUAGCUGACUUUUAAAUGUCCUACCAUCUUUCCAUUCCUUGGAAAAACUCUACUUAGUAAUGAUGUAUUAUCACAUUAUAACCACUGGGUUCAAUUUGCUAAUAUCAUGCUAGGGAUUUCUGUGUCUGUUUCAUGAGGAAUACUGGUCUGUAGUUUUCUUAUGAUGCCUCUGUCAGGUUUUGGUAUCAGGAUUAUGCUGACUUCCUAAGAUGAUUUGAGAAAUAUUUUCUUUUCAGUUUUCUGAAAGAGUUUGAGUAAGAGUUGUAUUAUUUCUUCCUUCUGUGUUUGACAGUACUCACCAGGAAAGCACUCUGGGCCUAGAAUUUCCUUGCAGGAAGAAUUCAAUAUCAAAUUCAAUUUUGUUAAUAGAUAAUGGACCAUUCAGAGUAUUUCAAGUUGUAUCAGUUUUGUUAUGCUGUGUUUUUCAAGGAAUUUGUCCGCCUCCUAUAAGUGAUGCAAUUUAUUGGCAUAGAGUCUCUCAUAAUAUUCCCUUAUUUUUUGAUGUUUGUAGUCUAUAAUGCUAUCUUCUCUUUCAUUUCUGAUACUGGUAAUUCGUGAGCUUUCUCCCUUUUUUCUUGUUCAGUUCUGCUAGGGAUUUUACAAGAGAUUUACCGAAAUAUAAUUGACAUAUAAUAAACUGCACAUAUUUAAAGUAUACAAUUUGAUGAAUGCUGACAAGUAUACAUGAGUGAAACCAUCACCACAAUCAAGAUAAUGAAUAUUUCCAUCACCCACAAAAGUUUACUCAUGGCUCACUGUAAUUCCUCUCUCCCUCCACCCCUAUCUCCAUGCAACCAUUGAUUUGCUCUCUGGAACUAUAGUUUGCAUUUUCUAGAAGUUUAUAUAGAUAAAUUCAUGUGGUAUAUACCAUAUUAUUUGAUCCGCUUCUUUCACUCAGCAUAAUGAUUUUGAGACUCAUCCAUACUAUUGCAUGUAUCACAAAUUUGUUCUUUUUUGUGGCUGAAUAGCAUGUUCUAAAGAAAUACCAAAAUUUAUUUUUUCAUUCACCUGGUGAUGGACAUUGGAGUUCUUUCCAAUUUUUGCCCAUAAUCAAUAAAACUAAUAUGAACAUUCAUGUAUAAGCCUGUGGAUGGAUAUAUGCUUUCAUUUCUCUACCUAAAGUAGAAAUAUUGGAUUGUAUGGCAUAUUUUUAACUUUUUAAAGAAAUUAUCAAACUGUUUUCCAAAGUAAUUGUACAAUUUUAUAUUUUCAUCAGCAGUGUAUGAGAAUUCCAGUUGCUCCACAUCUUCUCCAACAUUCUAUGGUCAGUUCAAAAAAUUUUAGACAUUCUAAAGGCUUAAAAAAACUAUAAAAUGAUAGUUUUCAAAAAUUAUAUAAUAGUUUUAUCAUAUUGUUUUAAUUUGCAGCUACCUACUGACAAAUGAUGUUGAGCAUCUUUUCAUGUGUUUAUUUGCCAUCUACAUAUCUUCUUCAGUAAAGUGUCUGUUCAAAUCUUUAGGUCAUUUUCAAAUUGGUCAUUUGUCUUCUUAUUAAAGAGUUGUUAGAGGUCUUUAUAUAUUGCAGAUAAAAGUCUUUUGUCAAUUAUAUGUUUUGCAAAUAUUUCCUCCCAGGCUAUGGCUUGCCUUUGCCUUCUCUUAACAGUGUCUUUUGAAAAACACAGCUUUUUAAUUUUGAUAACAUCCACUCAGCAUAAUGCUCUUGUGAUCCAUCCAAGUUGUUGCAUCUAUCAAUAAUAUCCUCCUUUUUAUUGCUGAGUAGUAUUUCAUGGUAUGGAUGUACCACAAUUUAUUUAACCAUUCACCCAGUGAAGUUCAUCUGGGUUGUUUCCUUUUUAUCUGUAAAAUCUGUCUACAGGUUUUUGUGUAAACAAAAGUCUCCAUUUCUCUGGAUGAAUGCCCAACAGUGCAAGUGCUGGGUCAUGCUGCAUGUUUAGUUUCACAAGAAACUGCCAAAUUGUUUUCCAUAGUGGCUACACCAUUUUACAUUCCCCUUAUCAACGUAUGAGUGAUCUGGAUUCUCCACAGCCUUGCCAGCAUUUGAUAUUAUCACUAUUUAUUUCAGCCAUUCUGGUAUAUGUGCAGUGAUAGCUCACUGUGGUUUUAAUUUGCAUUUCCCUAAUGGCUAAUGAUGUUGAACAAUUUUUCAUGUGCUUAUUUGCUUAUCUGUAUAUCCUCUUCAGUGAAAUGUCUGCUCAUGUUUUUUGCCCAUAUUCUAAUUAAAUUGUUUGCUUUUUAUUGUUGAGUUUCAAGAAUUCCUUAUGUAUUCUAGAUACAAGUGAUUUGUUAAAUAUGUAAUUUACAAGUAUUUUCUCACAGUCAGUAGUUUGUCUUUACAUCCUUCUUAAGAGGGUGUUUUGCAGAGGAAAAAAUUUAAAUAUGGAUGAGGUUGAAUUUAUCAAUUUUUCCUUUUAUGGAUCAUGCUUUUUGUACCAACUUUCUUUUGUCUAGCCCUAGAUCCUGAAGAUUUUCUCUUAUGUAGUCUUCUAAAUGUUUAUAGUUUUAUGUCUUAUGUUAAUUUCAUAAUCUGUUUUGAGUUAAUUUUUGCAUGUUUGCUCAGUGUUCUUUUUUUUUUUUUUGCCUAUGGAUAUCUAAUUGCUCCUCCAGCACCAUUUGUUGAAAAGGAUAUCCUUCCUCUGUUGAAUCGCUUUCUCAUCUUUGUAAAAAAUCAGUUGGGCAUAUUUGUGUGGGUCUAUUUCUGGGUUCUCUAUUCUGUUCUAUUUUCCUAUGUAUCUAUCCCUUCACCAAUACCACACUGUCUUAAUUACGGUAGCUCUGGUAAUCCCUCCAAUACCAGUUUUGAUUACUGUAGCUCUAUAGUAAGCCUUAGUGUCAGGUAAAGUAAUUCCUCCCACUUUACUCUUUUUUGUUGUUUUAGCUAUUCCAGGCCUGGUGUCUUUCUACAUAAAUUUUAGAAUAUGGUUAUGUCUAUUAAAAAAAACUUGCGUGGAUUUUGAUAGGAAUUGCAUCAAACAUAUAGAUCAAUUUGGGGUGAAGUGACAUCUUCAUUAUAUUGAAUAUUCCAACACAUGAAUAUGGUAUGUCUCUCCAUUUAGUUAGGUCUUUGAUUUAUUUUCUCAGCAUCUUAUAAUUUUCAGCAUACAGAUCCUGCACAUAUUUUGUUAAGUUUCUACUAAGUAUUUUGUUUUCCUUGGAGUGACUGUAAAUACUAUGGCAUUAAAAAAAUACUUUUUUUUCUCUAGAGCAGUUUUAAGCUUCACAGCAAAGCUGAGAAGGUACAGAGAUUUCCCAUAUAGCCCCUGUCCAAAGGCACAGCCUUCCCCAUCAUCAACAUCAUCCACAAGCAUGAUACAUUUGUUACAAUUUACAAAACUACACUGACACAUCAUUAUCACCUAGAGUCCACAGUUUACAUUAGGGUUCACUGCUAGUGUUAUACAUUCCAUGGGUUUAAACAAAUGUCUAAUAACAUGUAUCCAUCAUUACAGUACUAUAUAGAGUAUUUUCACUGCCUCAAAAUUCUGUCCCACCUAUUCAUCCUCCCUCCCCUCUAACUCCCAGCAAACACUUAUGUUUUUACUGUCUCCACAGUUUUGCCUUCUCUAGAAUGUCAUAUAGUUGAAAUCAUACAGUUAGACUUCGCCUUUUCAGAUUGGCUUUUUACUUAGUAAUAUGCAUUUAAGUUUUCUCCAUGUCUUUUUAUGGCUUGAUAUCUCAUUUCUUUUUAGCUCUGAAUAAUAUUUCAUUGUCUGGAUGUACCACAGUUUACUUAUCCAUUCACUUACUGAAUGACACCUUGGUUGCUUCCAAGUUUGGCAAUGAUGAAUAAAGCUGCUCUAAAAACCUGUGUGCAAGUUUGGUGUGGGCAUAAAUUUUCAACUCCCUUAGGUAAAUAUCAAAGAAUUCAAUCAUUGGAUCAUAUGGUAAGAGUACGUUUAGUUUCGUAAGAAACUGUCAAACUGUUUUCCAAAGUGCCUGGACCAUUUUGCAUUCCCACCAGCAAUGAACAAAAGUUCCUGUCGCUCCACAGCCUCGUUAGCAUUUGGUGUGGUCAGUGUUCUGGAUUUUGGCCAUUCUAAUAGGUGUGAAGUAGUAUCUCCUGGUUUUAAUUUGCACUUCCCAGAUGAUAUAAUGUGGAGCAUAUUUUUACACAUUUAUUUGUCAUCUGUAUAUCUGUGGUGAGGUGUCUGUUAAGGUCUUUGGCCCAUUUUUUAAUAAGGUUGUUUGUCUUCUUAUUGUUGAGUUUUAAGAGUUCCUUGCAUAUUUUGGAGAACUGUCCUUUAUCAGAUAUGCCUUUUGCAUAUAUUUUCUCCCAGCCUGUGGCUUGUCUUUUCACUCUCUUGACAGUGACUUUCACAAAGCAGAAGUGUUUAAUUUUAGUGAAUUAGAGUUUGUAAAUUCUUUUCAUGGAUUGUGCCUUUGGUGAACUUCACGUGUUCUUCUCUUUCCCCACCCCGCAACUUAGGUGGGACAGGAUGCUAUUGUGGGCUGGAGUUGGGUAUUUCCCUUCCCCGGGGUCAGUUAGGCUGUGGUUAACUAGUUCUUCAGAGGGCAUGCCUUAUUAAGAAGAACAGAAUGCUCUGUCUUAUUUCAAAAUAGUUCCUUUUCCCUACCCCUGCCAGGAGGUCAAGAGGAAUUUUCUUCAACAUUCACUAUGAGGACCCAGUUGACCUCCUGAAGGGAGGAAACCGGACUGGGCCGUCGUCCAUCCACAGGAGGAAACAGCGCCUUCCUCGCGGGCCCAUGGCAGCGCCGUGCGCUCCAGGCCCUUCCCACCCGAGGCGUCCUACCCGCGGGGCGCACUGCUCGGUUUCGGAAAAACUCAAAAAAAAAAAAAAAAAACCCCUUUGCAGGUGAGGGCGGCGCGCAGGGCCCUCGCGGUGCACUCGGAACCUUCCCAAGACGGCGUGGCGGGCGGCGGGCGGGCUCUGCCCCGGUCCUCUUGGCGGGUGCGGGGACGGCUCGGCAGUGAGCGCCCCGCGUAGGCCAGCAG